UUUUUUUCACAAAUAAUACUAUCAAGUUUAUAAUUAUAAUUUUGGUUCUAUCAGGGAGAAACAUUAAAUUUAACAUGGUGAAUUAUUCAACGUAUUUAACAUGUUCUAUAUUUAUAUUCCCCCUAUUCAAUAUUUAUAUUUUUUCGUAAUACAUAUAUUUUUCUUAAUAACGACGAAUCAUUCACCGUAUUUAGACACGGUGAAUCGAUUAUCUUGUUCAACUUAUUUCAGCACCUUCAUCCUUUCUCGCGUGGCGCUUACGUGACGUUGCGUGGGCGAGAAUAGAGUCGAAAUUAUAGUUAUAAAUUUGUGUGAGAUUAUUUAUGAAAAUAAUUUUUUUUGAGGGGCCAAAUGAAAAAGAAA
rnacentral:lncRNA from 1 species